UCUCCUUGAUUCUUUCUAAUUUCUUCUUUCAUAUUUGAUUUCAGAAAAUUAAUAAUAUUCUUUUGAUUUCAUGUAGGUUUGAAAUAAAGAAUGAAAAUGAUUGAAUCUAUCGUUUCAUCUUUCCAAAUCCAUUUCGAUUUGAAAUAAAGAAUGGAAAUGAUUGAAUCUGUCAUUUCAUCUUCCCAAAUCCAUGUAUCUUGGGAGAUGAUUGUCGAAAAAUUGUUAGCACCGAUGCGGAGCAAAUUCAUCUUAAGGACAAAGUGUCCAACACUUGCCUCGACCAAUUGCAUCUCUCUGUGUUUCUUUCUGAUUUCUUCCUUCAUAUUUGCUUUCAGAAUAUUAAUAACAUUCUUUUGAUUUCAUGUAGGUUUGAAAUAAAGAACGAAAAUGAUUGAAUUUGUCAUUUCAUCUCCCCAAAUCCAUUUCGGUUUGAAACAAAAGAAUGGAAAUGAUUGUAUCUGUCGUUUCAUCUUCCCAAAUGCAUUUCGGUAAGAUGAAACCACGUUUCGAUUUCAUGAACAUCAAUGGUAUGUUUUGUGAAUAUAAUAUGCACAAUAUCGGUG
rnacentral:lncRNA from 1 species